AAUUCUUUGACGUAUUCGCUGG
rnacentral:miRNA from 1 species